GCUGAGGCUGGCGGACCGUUUGAGCUCAGGGGUUCUGGGCUGUAGUGGACUAUGUCGAUCGUGUGUCUGCACUAAGUUCGGAAUCGAUAUGGUGCUCCUGAGGGAGCUCGGGACCACCAGGUCGCCUAAGGAGGGGUGAACCGGCCCAGGUCGGAAACGGAGCAGAUCGGACGAGCGUCG